CUGGAACUUGAAGGUAUCCACAGAAAGGGUACCUGGAAAAUAAGAUGAAUAUGAAAUGGGGAGAGCAAGAAGGAGCUGAAAUGCAUCAGCUGGAGCCCGGGAGAACAGAUAGAAACUCAGACUCUUUCUUGUGUUCUCUCUGCCCUUGAUGGUCUGCAUGUCCUGGAGAAGCCAGGUCUUUCAUCACACACAGCUGGCCCAGCAGUCAGAGAAGCUGAAGGAGGAUUGGGGGGAAGGUGGAGCAGCAGGAGGCCUGGCUGUUCCUCACACCAAGGAGGUGCAUCCGCAGAUGAGGAGUGAAUGCCAAGGGCAUGUGAAUGCCUUGAAGUGGCUAUUUCUUGGAAGCAGAUAUUAUAAGAGGCCCUGUCAAGGAACUGUGGGUAUCCUCUGGUCGGCAGCCAGAGAGAAACAGAGGACCUUGGAAUAACAGCCUUCAAGAAGCAUUAUUUUGCCAACAGCCAUGUGAGUUAUCUUGGAUGCAGAUCAUUUCCCAGUUGAGCCUUCUGAUGAGACUGCAGACCCAGUUUCCACUUGAUUGCAGCCUUACAAGAGACUGAAGCUGAGGACCUAAAUAAGUCAUACCCAGAUUUCUCCUCCAAAGAAACUGUGAGAUAAUAUGUGUGCAUAUUUUAAACUGACAAACUUCAGGGUACUGUGAUUCAUAGCAACAGAUCAGCAAAGCACACACUAAGUGUCUCAAAUGUUCAUGAUAUAAUAGCAUAAAAGUAAUAAAACAAGUGGACAAACAAAUCUAUGAUCAAUGAAUGUCAUGAAAUGUCUCAGAGACAACUGGGUAACCACAUGAAGAAGUUGUCCCAUGUACAUGUGAGGGCCAAUGAGUUAAAGGAGCCCUAGUUAGCUAGUUUGAUUUCAUGGGGGUUACUCUUGGUUGCAUAAAUUUAAUUAUUUAUUUAUUUAUUUUUUUGAGAUGGAGUCUUACUUUGUCACCCAGGCUGGAGUGCAGUGGCACAAUCUUGGCUCACUGCAACCUCUGCCUCCCGGGUUCAAGCAAUUCUCCUGCCUCAGCCAUAAGAGUAGCUGGGACUACAGGCACAUGCCACCAUGCCUGCCUAACUUUUGUAUUUUUAGUAGAGACAGGGUUUCACCAUGCUGGCCAGGCUGGUCUCGAACUCCUGACCUCAUGAUCUGCCUGCCUCAGCCUCCAAAAGUGCUGUGAUUAGAGGCAUGAGUCACCAUACCUGGCUGGUUGCAUAAAUUUAUACAGUAUAUUUUACUUCUUUGUCUGACUUCCUGCUAUUUCCCUCCCUACUGAUCGUUUUGUGGGCUGAUUUUUUUUUGUAAUUUUAAUUGAAUCAUGUUAUGCUGUAUAUGAAGUGAAACCUUUAAUGGGAUAAAUCAAACUAAAUAAAAUGUUUACUUAUAAGGAACUCAUUUUUGAGGACUCAUUUGGACCCAAUUCUCUUCCUGGAUCUGGUAGCAAAUUGAAAAAUGUGCCAUCUUGGUCCAGUUCCCAGUUGUUACAGUCUUUUUGAUAUGAUUUAAAUGCCAGUGUAGAGUUCUGAAAAGAACUUGGUCUCCUCUUUGCCUGCAGUUUAUCAUUCUGUCUCCUUUUGGAUGAAUUGUGUGUCAUUCCUAUAAAAAUACCACAGUUGAAAACAAGCAUUUCCCAGCCAUGAGCAGUAUGCUUCCUGAAAGCAUAUUCCCUGGAAGGGAAUGACAUUGCCUAUUUUUUCUAUUGAUCUGAGACAUAGUGGGUAGGACAGAGAGCAAUUAAAGAAUUGGCAUAAUAUAGGGUUUCUCUGUCUCAGCACUUGUGGCGUUUUGGACCAAAUAGUCAUUUAUUGUGAAGGGCUGUCCUGUGCACUGUAGGAUACUUACCAGCAUCCCUGACCUUUACCCACUCAUUGCUAGUAGCACUCUCAGGUCAUGACAACC
rnacentral:lncRNA from 1 species